UCUUUUCCUUUUUUUCCCUCCUCCUCUUUCCCCCUUCUUUCCCCCGCGUUGUCCGGCCUUCCUGGGUGUCCCGGGCGCGCAGGCGGGAAGACAAGUUGGAAGUGAAAUCCAUGGGCUCAACCCAUGAACUGCUUUCAAAACUGUUUUUCUUGAGUAGUGCAGAGGUAGGCGGAAUUCCCGGUGUAGCGGUGGAAUGCGUAGAUAUCGGGAGGAACACCAGGGGCGAAGGCGGCCGACGGGGCACAAAAGGAAGAGGAGGAGAGAAAGGGGGGGGAGAAAACAGG
rnacentral:rRNA from 1 species